rnacentral:rRNA from 1 species
CAGUCGCCGCGGGAAUACGUAGGGUGCAAGCGUUAAUCGGAAUUACUGGGCGUAAAGCGUGCGCAGGCGGUUAUAUAAGACAGUCGUGAAAUCCCCGGGCUCAACCUGGGAACUGCGAUUGUGACUGUAUGGCUAGAGUGUGUCAGAGGGGGGUAGAAUUCCACGUGUAGCAGUGAAAUGCGUAGAUAUGUGGAGGAAUACCGAUGGCGAAGGCAGCCCCCUGGGAUAACACUGACGCUCAUGCACGAAAGCGUGGGGAGCAAACAGGAUUAGAUACCCCAGUAGUCCCUGUCUCUUAUAC